GAAAUAGGUCAAAUAUGGCGACAAUGAUCAACUUGCUCUUCUUCUGCUAAAUUAAAGAUUCGUGUGGAGAUUCUGUCGAUAUAAUCAUAUAUUUAUAUCUGCUCUUUCUUAAAAUGGAGACGGUGCCAGGGCAAUGUUUCAUAGAGUGGAAUGAUUGACCUCAACACAAGUAUUAAAAAAAAAAGAAGCAAAACAGGUCUACAUCUCAAAACCUGAUCUCUUCCUGGACUGGCUUUAGGAGAACGAUGAUGCAUAUCAAUUUCAUCCCUGAUCUCUAUGACACCUGUGGUGGAAGUGGAGGGCAAAUCGUAAUCAGUUUGGGUUCCAGCCCCGAGGACCUCUGUAAACUUUGCUUUUUGGUGAUGACUUAAUUUCCGAGCUUGAAAAGGACGCUUGUGUGUUUAUCAUGGCCUCUCAUAUUGGAAGAUAACAUUAAUGGCUUGUGUGUUGAUCGACGGUUGUGCAUAUCUCUUGGUCAGGAAAGUUGUAGGCACCAUCGCCAUUGUAAAUCAUUUGACAGGCCCGAGUGAACGGGGCGACCUAUGAUUGGUCAGCAAUGUAUCAGAUUCCAUACCGGGGGGUGGGGAUGAAAAAACUGUUGUAGUGUUACAUAAUCAGAUUAUUUCAACUUACUUAUCCUGUGGAAAUACAGCUAUAUAGGAGAUAUUUUGAAAUUCAUAGGCACUGCAUGUUUCAACAUUUUAGAUUUGACCACAAUCUGGCACUUGAAACUAUGUUAACAGAGAAAAACUGUGUGGUUUUCGAUGAAAGUGUUAAAAGUCUAAUAUUGCAUCAUGAUUACUGUUUUAAAUUAUUUUCGUGUUUGAUUUAUAUUGAAUUCAUCUCAUCUUUUUGAAGAAUGCAUUUAUGUUCAAAAAUAAAAAUGUUCUGUGGAAUUCAAAAUUCAUGUGCUUUUAAAUUAUCAGAUUCCAAACUGGGGGUAGGGAUGAAAAAGCUGUUGUAGUGUUACAUAAUCAGAUUAUUUCAACUUACUUAUCCUAUGGAAAUACAGCUAUAUAGGAGAUAUUUUAAAAUUGAUAGGCACUGCAUGUUUCAACAUUUUAGAUUUGACCACAAUUUGGCACUUGAAACUACGUUAACAGAGAAAAACUGUGUGGUUUUCGAUGAAAGUGUUAAAAAGUCUAAUAUUGCAUCAUGAUUACUGUUUUAAAGUAUUUUCGUGUUUGAUUUAUAUUGAAUUGUAUUUAGAAAACGGAGGAAACCGAAUGACCCAGCGAAAAAACUCAAGAGAUUGGACAGGCGACUCUACUCCUUGAAAUUGAAACCAUGCCACUUAACACAAUGACAGAUCUUGUGAUUUCAUGCGCAUGCAUUACCUACUAGACCAUUCCCCCCAGCCCCACCCCAUAUCGAAUAAAAUUUCAAUAUUGGAUGUAUAUGCAAAUCACCCAGAAAAAGAUCAUGUAAUAACAAAAGAAAUUAUAAAAGAAAAAAAGGAAGAAGAAAUGGCUGGAAAAAAUGAUGAUAGAGCAGCUUUUUCUUGUUACCCACCUCGGAAGAUCAAGUUGGAAAGGGCUAUUGAUAUUGUGGAGACGUUUUCUCACAGAUCUUGCUUAUCAGACAAAGACUAUGCUGGAACACCAUUGAAAGAGUAUUUGCUAUAUGAUAACAACAAGAAAACCCAAGCAUCAAUUUAUUUUAUACUUCUGGGAAAGAAUGCAUUUGACCCAAUUUUUAAAUAUUUAUUUUUUGUUAUUAAUGUUAAAUUUUCUUCCAAAACACAAUUAGAUUUUAAUUCUCUUCAGAAAUGUAUGUAUAAUAUAGCAAGUAAAGUGGCAUAUAAAUCACUUAGAAUUUGGUCAGAAAUCAUAAAGCAUUAAUAGGCAUUACUAGAAACCAAAUGUAGAUCAAAUACACCCAGAAUUACAAAAAACCUUGACCUACAUAAAGGUGACUUUCCCUUGCUUAUGAAAUGAAAUACGGUUUAGUAUCCUACUUUUCUGUGUUCUUAGAGUGAUUCUGCCCUACACCCUACUCUUAUAUCAAAUAUUUCAACUGUCAAGGGUUCUUUAACGGGAACCCGGGGGGGGGGGGGGCAAUGAUUAACACGCACACAUUUGAUCAGGAAGUCUGUCAUUGAGUCAAAUAAUUCAAUUGUCAAGGCUUCUUCUAAGUGAACGCAGUGGGGAUGGUUUCGAUUCCGGGAAUGGGGGAGGGGGUGGUGGAUGGCCGAAUGGUAAGCAUGUGCGUGCAGUAUCAUACAGCCUGUCAUUGAGUCAACUGGCGUGGUUUCGAAUCCCCGGUUGUACGUGACAAGGAGUAGGGUCGCCUGUCCAAUCUUGUGGGUUUUCUACGGGACCUACGGUUUCCUCCCACUGCUAAAGACCCCUAUGCGCAACGAAUUAUUGAAAUAAAAUUAAACCAUAUGUUAAUCCCGAAAUGACCUAGUUUGUGUCAAGUAGACGUUAAACCCCAUUUCUCUCUCUCUCUCUUUCGAUUCCGGGCUUGUACCCAAUUAUCCCUUGCCAUAUCCAAGACUACUGACAAGUGGGAACUAUGCCGGAAAAUCCAGUUGAAAUUUCUCGGCCAACACCUUAUACUCACUGAACCACUGUGGCUUAUGACUUGUGAUUGUAUAUAAAUUUUUUGUACAUAUGAUAUUUUUUUAUUUCAAUCCUGUAAUCUUGAUGCUUUGCUUCUUUUAUUUACAAAAUAUUCAUUUUGUUUGGGGUUUUUUAAUGAGGAAAAGGUUUUACAUCAUUUUAUUACUCCUGCGAAAUAGUGCAUUUUUCUUUUGUUAGUUUUCUGUGUAUAUUAGUUAUUUCUAUAUGUCUCACAAAUCACUUGUAGUGUGAUUUUGUAGCACUUUUCAGUUUUUGAAAUUGUUUCAAUUUAGUGCAUAAUUAAUCUUAGUGCUUGGUUUGGAUGUUAUUAAAUUUAGAUAUUAUUUGAAUUAUAUAUUUUGGAGUAUGGGGUAGGGAUACUGUGUACAUAUCUUUAUAUUCUCAGUUCUUGUUUUGGGGUAAAGAACAAUUUAUAUAGCUAUUUUAUAUUUUGUGAUAGGUAAAGUGUGUGGGGUUAAGAACAAUUUAAAUAGCUAUGUUAUAAUUUGUGAUGGGU